rnacentral:rRNA from 1 species
GAUGAACGCUGGCGGCGUGCCUAAUACAUGCAAGUCGAGCGAACGGACGAGAAGCUUGCUUCUCUGAUGUUAGCGGCGGACGGGUGAGUAACACGUGGAUAACCUACCUAUAAGACUGGGAUAACUUCGGGAAACCGGAGCUAAUACCGGAUAAUAUUUUGAACCGCAUGGUUCAAAAGUGAAAGACGGUCUUGCUGUCACUUAUAGAUGGAUCCGCGCUGCAUUAGCUAGUUGGUAAGGUAACGGCUUACCAAGGCAACGAUGCAUAGCCGACCUGAGAGGGUGAUCGGCCACACUGGAACUGAGACACGGUCCAGACUCCUGCGGGAGGCAGCAGUAGGGAAUCUUCCGCAAAGGGCGAAAGCCUGACGGAGCAACGCCGCGUGAGUGAUGAAGGUCUUCGGAUCGUAAAACUCUGUUAUUAGGGAAGAACAUAUGUGUAAGUAACUGUGCACAUCUUGACGGUACCUAAUCAGAAAGCCACGGCUAACUACGUG